rnacentral:rRNA from 1 species
AUGCCUCCACGCCUCCCCUCCCCCGCCCUCUCCGCCCACAUACGCACGCUCUCCGCCGCCCCGGCAUCCGCCGCCCGGGCCGGUGCCCCCCACCUGCUCGACGGAGUGCCGCGCCCGGACCGCCUCGGGCGGCUCCCGCCCGAGCUCGCGGGCUUCGUCCGCUCGCGCGCCGCGGGGCACACGCCCAGCCAGUUCGCCUACGGGAACGCGCUCGCGGCCUGCACCCCGGCCGCCGGGGCGGGCAGCGUCGCCUUCGCGGAGCAGCUCUACUGCGCCGCCUGGAAGGACGGGCUCGCGGGCGACGCCUACGUCUGCAGCGGCAUGGUCGACCUGCUUGCCAAGAGCGGCCGCCUCGGGGACGCGCUCAGGGCGUUCGCGGACGGCGACCGCGGGAGCGCGGUCUGCUGGAACGCGGUCAUCUCCGGGGCGGCGCGCAACGGCGAGCACGGGCUCGCCGUCGAGAUGUUCGGCGACAUGGCGUGGGGCUCCUGCGAGCCCAACUCGUUCACUUACUCCGGGGUCCUCAGUGCCUGUGCGGCGGGCGCGGAGCUGUGCGUCGGGAAGGCAGUGCACGGGCUGGUGCUUCGGCGUGACCCCGAGUACGAUGUGUUCAUUGGGACGGCGAUCGUCAACAUGUACGCGAAGUCGGGUGAUAUGGUCGCUGCCAUGAGGGAGUUCUGGAGGAUGCCCGUCCGGAAUGUGGUUUCCUGGACCACCGCGAUCGCUGGUUUCGUGCAGCAGGAGGAGCCACUAGGUGCUGUUCGGCUGCUCAGAGACAUGGUCCGGGGCGGCGUGUCUAUCAACAAAUACACAGCUACUAGCAUCUUGCUCGCCUGCUCCCAGAUGCACAUGAUACGAGAGGCUAGCCAGAUCCAUGGAAUGAUCAUAAAGACAGAGCUGUACUUGGAUUACGUUGUCAAGGAGGCUUUGAUCUGCACAUACGCUAAUAUUGGGGCUAUUGAUUUGUCCGAGAAGGUGUUCGAAGAAGUUGGCAGAGUAAGCAACAAAAGUAUCUGGUCAACUUUCAUAUCUGGGAUUAGUAGCCAUAACCUACCGAGAUCAAUUCAGCUAUUAACGAGGAUGUUUCGUCAGGGUCUAAGACCAAACGACAAAUGCUAUGCUUCUAUUUUCAGUUCUGUGGACUCAACUGAGCUUGGAAGGCAGCUGCAUUCGCUGGUUAUAAAAGAUGGGUUUGUUCAUGGUGUCCUUGUGGGCAGUGCACUCUCCACCAUGUACUCUAGAUGUGGUGAAAUGGAAGAUAGCUGCAAGGUCUUCGAAGAAAUGCAGGAACGGGAUGAAGUCUCAUGGACUGCAAUGAUUGCUGGUUUUGCAUCUCAUGGCCAUUCAGAUGAGGCAUUCCGACUGUUCAGGAAUAUGAUUCUUGAUAAUCUAAAGCCUGACCAUGUGUCGUUAUCUGCCAUUCUUUCAGCUUGUAAUGGACCAGAAUACUUGCUCAAAGGGAAGGAAGUUCAUGGACAUAUUCUUCGUGUCUAUGGAGAAACUACGUCUGUUAGCACUUGUUUGGUUUCCAUGUAUUCCAAAUGUCGAGAAGUACAAACAGCUAGAAGAAUUUUCGAUGCAACUCCAUGCAAAGAUCAGGUCAUGUUGUCUUCAAUGGUAUCUGGAUACUCUACAAAUGGUUGCACUGACGAGGCAAUCUCACUAUUUCAGCUUAUGAUGGCAGCUGGUUUUCAGAUAGAUAGGUUCAUAUGCUCAUCUAUCCUUAGCCUAUGUGCUAACAUAGCAAGACCGCUCUAUGGAAAACUAUUACAUGGGUAUGCAACUAAGGCAGGAAUACUGUCUGAUCUAUCAGUAAGUAGUUCACUUGUGAAGCUGUACUCCAAAAAUGGCAACCUGCAUGAUUCUCGUAAAGUUUUUGAUGAAAUAAAUUCCCCGGAUUUAGUUACUUGGACAGCUAUAAUUGAUGGAUAUGCUCAGCAUGGAAGCGGUCAGGAUUCUUUGGAGAUGUUUGAUUUGAUGAUUAGGCGUGGAGUGAAACCAGAUAAUGUUGUACUAGUGAGUAUUUUAUCUGCUUGCAGCCGUAACGGUUUAGUUGAAGAAGGCUUUAACUACUUUAAAUCUAUGAGAAACGUGUAUGGGCUUGAGCCUGUGUUACAUCACUACUGUUGUAUGGUUGAUUUACUUGGUCGAUCUGGGAGGCUUGCAGAGGCAAAAAGUUUUAUUGAGAGUAUGCCUAUGAAGCCUGACUUGAUGGUAUGGAGCACACUGCUUGCUGCUUGCAGAGUUCAUGAGGAUGCUGUACUUGGACGAUUUGUAGAAAAUAAGAUACGUGAAGAUAAUUAUGACCCAAGCUCUUUUGCAAUGCUGUCAAACAUUCUAGCAAACUCUGGAGACUGGGAGGAAGUAGCGAGAGUCAGAAAAUCAUUAAAGAGCAGCAAGAAAGAGCCUGGAUUGAGUAUGGUGUAA